CGGUCACUGACGAUGACUCGGAGGCCCUGUGAAAUGAAGUGAACUCUGACUGACCAGCGUUUUUCACUUACCUGAUGUCUGGAGCAGGACUGCUUGCUGGAUGUGCCGUGGUGUUGGGGAGGGAAUGAGCGAGGGGUGAGCGGACAGUUAUCCCCCUGAUUUGUUUGCCGCUACUGAACUCCAGCAGAUCCCCCAUAUCAGUACGUCAUCCACAGAUCCCCCAUAGCACUGAGGAAGAGAGAGAAAAGAUGGGAAAGAAUCCACAAAAGCAAGCAGAGGACGGCACAGCAGACGACUUAAUAGCUUCUUUUAUCCUUUAUGGUUUCUCCCGGCGCACUGUAGAGUGGGGAAUACGAAGAUGGAGUGUUUACAGCACAGCCUUGGAAAGCUAACUAUAUUUCAUAGAAAAUAAUUUUGUUAGGCGAGUCUGCAGCCGUGGAAAUAUGUAACAUACAGAACAAUAAAAGUGUAAGCCGAGUUAAUGUCACAUUUCUUGUUCUUUAUUGAAAUAUUCACCAUCUGUUUCCCAGUUUGGAGAGGAAAAUCUAUAAUGGCAGCAUCCAGUAUCACCGGUAAUUUGUUUUCUGGUUUCAAGUCAUAUUCUGGAAUUAUAAUCAACA